UGGGGAAUAUUGCGCAAUGGGGGAAACCCUGACGCAGCAACGCCGCGUGCGGGACGACGGCCUUCGGGUUGUAAACCGCUUUCAGCAGGGAAGAAACCCUCGACGGUACCUGCAGAAGAAGCUCCGGCUAACUACGUGCCAGCAGCCGCGGUAAUACGUAGGGAGCGAGCGUUAUCCGGAUUCAUUGGGCGUAAAGCGCGCGUAGGCGGCUCGUUAAGCGGGACCUCUAAUCCCGGGGCUCAACCCCGGGCCGGGUUCCGAACUGACGGGCUCGAGUUCGGUAGGGGCGAGUGGAAUUCCCGGUGUAGCGGUGGAAUGCGCAGAUAUCGGGAAGAACACCGAUGGCGAAGGCAGCUCGCUGGGCCGCAACUGACGCUGAGGCGCGAAAGCUAGGGGAGCGAACAGG
rnacentral:rRNA from 1 species